GACGAACGCUGGCGGCGUGCCUAACACAUGCAAGUUAAGCGACGAACCAGGGCUUGCCCUGGGGCAAAGCAGCGAACGGGUGAGUAACACGUGGGUAACCUACCCCGAUAACCGGGACAACCCGAGGAAACUCGGGCUAAUACCGGAUGUGCUCACUGGACUUCGGUUCAGUGCGUAAAGGAAGCUUCGGCCUCCGUAUCGGGAGGGGCCCGCGGCCCAUUAGUUUGUUGGUGAGGUAACGGCUCACCAAGACCGCGAUGGGUAGCUGGUCUGAGAGGACGAUCAGCCACACUGGGACUGAGACACGGCCCAGACUCCUACGGGAGGCAGCAGUGGGGAAUCUUGCGCAAUGCGCGAAAGCGUGACGCAGCAACGCCGCGUGGGGGAAGAAGGCCUUCGGGUUGUAAACCCCUUUCAGGAGGGACGAAGGUUCGGCGGUGAAUAGCCGUCCGGACUGACGGUACCUCCACAAGAAGCCCCGGCUAACUACGUG
rnacentral:rRNA from 1 species